GACUUUAGGCAAGGAACUAAUGGAGAUUCGUGGAUUCCAGCUGGGGCAGCAGGCUGCCAGAUUGCUUCCUGUGGCUCUUGGAUUACAUUGCGGAGCAGUGACUUGCCAAAGCUUUCCCAGGAUCUCUGAGCCAGCCUCUAAGCUCAUUUAAAUGCUUCAACUUUAAUCCACAGUAGAAGAUGGAUGGGCAGGCACUUAGAUUUGGGGCUUUUGUGGAUGGCAAGCUGAGUCUUCAGAUGAAAGUGCUGCUGGAGGAGAGGACUCGCCUCCGGUGGAAGGAGAUCCCGGAGGUCUACAGCAGCACAGGACACACAGGACAUCACAGACCAGGAGAACUUUUGGGAUGAGGAUCAGCAGGAGUCUCCUCAUGCAGACACCCAAGGGAAGUGAGCAAUUCCAGUCUUGUACCCUUAGCCAAAACAGUAGUAACUGCCUGAACCCGCUUCCCCGGAGGGUGCUUUGCCUUACACAACUGACCAUUUUUGAAGUCUGAGAGAAAAGGUCUCUUAGUGAUGAGGGGAAGCAGUGUGCAUGGAGGAGAGCUGGGAUUGACACCGACCUGGUGCGCGGACAGAUGAGGUGGAGUGGAGAGCAGAGCUGGAGAGUGSUGCUCCCCUUUGCAGGCAUUUCUGAAGCUACUGCAGCAGUCUUCAAGUAAAAUGACAUUUAGGCUAUGAAGUUCAUACUUCAAAAAAAAAAAAAAUCCCAAGGGUUUUAUUAGGAACUGUACAUAUGAAAUAUUCCUCUGCGUCCUCAUGGAACUUUUUCCAUCAUAACAACAUCCAAAAAUCCCCUUCCUGGCUAGGUUCAGUGCCAACCCCAAGCUCUUUCAGAUGGCCAGGGAGGCUGCAGC